ACACUCCUACGGGAGGCAGCAGUGGGGAAUUUUGGACAAUGGGCGAAAGCCUGAUCCAGCAAUGCCGCGUGAGUGAAGAAGGCCUUCGGGUUGUAAAGCUCUUUUGUCAGGGAAGAAACGGUGAAAGCUAAUAUCUUUUGCUAAUGACGGUACCUGAAGAAUAAGCACCGGCUAACUACGUGCCAGCAGCCGCGGUAAUACGUAGGGUGCAAGCGUUAAUCGGAAUUACUGGGCGUAAAGCGUGCGCAGGCGGUUUUGUAAGUCUGAUGUGAAAUCCCCGGGCUCAACCUGGGAAUUGCAUUGGAGACUGCAAGGCUAGAAUCUGGCAGAGGGGGGUAGAAUUCCACGUGUAGCAGUGAAAUGCGUAGAUAUGUGGAGGAACACCGAUGGCGAAGGCAGCCCCCUGGGUCAAGAUUGACGCUCAUGCACGAAAGCGUGGGGAGCAAACAGGAUUAGAUACCCCAGUAGUCC
rnacentral:rRNA from 1 species